CCUACGGGUGGCAGCAGUGAGGAAUAUUGGUCAAUGGGCGCGAGCCUGAACCAGCCAAGUAGCGUGAAGGAUGACUGCCCUACGGGUUGUAAACUUCUUUUAUAAAGGAAUAAAGUGAGGCACGUGUGCUUUUUUGUAGGUACUUUAUGAAUAAGGAUCGGCUAAUUCCGUGCCAGCAGCCGCGGUAAUACGGAGGGUCCGUGCGUUAUCCGGAUUUAUUGGGUUUAAAGGGAGCGUAGACGGGUUGUUAAGUUAGUUGUGAAAGUCUGCGGCUCAACCGUAAGAUUGCAAUUGAUACUGGCAGUCUUGAGUACAGUUGAGGUAGGCGGAAUUCGUGGUGUAGCGGUGAAAUGCUUAGAUAUCACGAAGAACUCCGAUUGCGAAGGCAGCUUACUGCACUGCUACUGACAUUGAUGCUCGAAAGUGUGGGUAUCAAACAGGAUUAGAUACCCGGGUAGUC
rnacentral:rRNA from 1 species